GAAAUGCGAUACGUAAUGUGAAUUGCAGAAUUCAGUGAAUCAUCGAAUCUUUGAACGCAAAUUGCGGUUUGGGGUAUUCCCCGGACCAUACCUGGUUGAGUAUCAUUAAACAACCUCAUUCAAAAAACAUUUUCUUGUUCUGCGAAUGGUUAUGAGGUGUCUUGGCAGCCAUGAUUUUUUCAUGUGCAACCAAGUCCCUUUAAAUGUCGAGAUGUGCGCUUGAACUUCAUCCAGCACAGACGGUGUAUUAAUAUGAUUCUUCAUUUUCUCACCAUCUGUCAGAAGCUCGUCUGCUACACAUCCAAAAUCAAGAACUAUCCUGAGACCUGUAAAAGGGUCUCUUGAAUCCUUGAUCUCAACUCAGGUAAGACUACCCGCCGAAUUUAA
rnacentral:misc_RNA from 1 species